AGAAUCAACGCUGGCGGCGUGCCUAACACAUGCAAGUCGAACGAGAAAGUGGGAGCAAUCCCAUGAGUAAAGUGGCGCACGGGUGAGUAACACGUGACUAACCUACCCUUGAGUGGGGGAUAACCUAGGGAAACCUGGGCUAAUACCGCAUAAUACCUACGGGUCAAAGGAGCAAUUCGCUUUAGGAGGGGGUCGCGGCAGAUUAGUUAGUUGGCGGGGUAAUGGCCCACCAAGACAGUGAUCUGUAUCCGGCCUGAGAGGGCGCACGGACACACUGGAACUGAAACACGGUCCAGACUCCUACGGGAGGCAGCAGUGGGGAAUUUUGCGCAAUGGGGGAAACCCUGACGCAGCAACGCCGCGUGGAGGAUGAAGCCCCUUGGGGCGUAAACUCCUUUCGAUCGGGAAGAUAAUGACGGUACCGGAAGAAGAAGCCCGGCUAACUUCGUGCCAGCAGCCGC
rnacentral:rRNA from 1 species